UCUGUCUCUGGAACAAUAGGUACCUGUAUUCUGCACGGACUGCUGGGCAGCGCUGACACUCUGGAGAAGGUCUGCCUCCUCACUCUCCUGGUUGUAUGAAGGCAGAUGAGUGCCACAGCUGUAACUGAGGCAUACGGCAAUAAACACAGUGGAGCCAAUUUCUACGCUGGCGAGAGAGGGGGCAUCAGAGUUGACAACAAUGACAGGGACCCAAGGACCGUCCUUCUGACAAGUUUCAGAUUUGCAGCCUCAUGGAGUGAGUGACGGAGUGGUUUGCCAACUUGUAGUGACUCCACUCAGCCGCGCAGAAUGGCUGCAGGAAAUGUGUAUUCAGAUAAGCCCAAAGAAGUCUGCCCAGGGUGAAACAUGUACCUUUGAAGUUUAAAUCAGAAAGGAAGGAGAGGCUGUUUCUACAGGUGUCAGAGAAAAAUCGAUACUGAGCCACGGAUUAUUGAAUCCCGUAGAACCAUGGAGGCUUGGCAGUGAAAUUCUUCCAAAGGGUUUCUUCUAAAUUUCACAAAGUUGAAAAACUAUACCUAAUGCAUUGGUGGUUUGACUGCAUUGCUUAGCGUUCCGUCCAUGCAGGCAGAUGGUGUUCCUAGGUUUGAAAACAUAAAUCCCAGGGGACGUGAGCUGAAGAACAUUUUAUGCAUCACUCAUCCUAUUAUGAGCCCUAUGCUGCUCCAUCUCUACAAGAUUGGCUGAAGCAAUAGCAACCACAAAAAUUGUUUAUAAUUUGCAUUCUAACUUUCCAUCAUUUGGUUAAUACCCUGAAUCUGAUUACCCAAGAAAACAAUGUUCUAAAAGAAAGACUAUUAGAAAGUUGCCACUGCAUUAUUAGUGAAUAACAUGGAAAGUGCAACAUUCUAGAUUUCCCAUCGUGUGAGGACAGAAAGAAAGUAUGGUCAGAUCUGGGUACCUGAAAAGCAGUUUAUUUUCUUAUGCAUUGUCAAGAGGAUAAAUACACAAUGAAUUUUAUAUAUGAAGCGGUUGACUGAUUGUACCUGCCAGCUGGCUAAUAUCAUAAUUAACAAAGUUGCUACUACGUCUGCAAAGUUUAAUCGAAAAAUUUGCCAGUGAUAUGAUGGCAUUGUCACAAAGAUCACAAGGGACUCAGAGUCGACUUUCGCUCAAGGUGGAAUGACAGAGCUGUGGAGGCAAAAUGAGAAAUCUUGAACUUGUUCAGCCAAAGGGCAAUAAACUAGGCCUCCACUAAGCCUGAGCAAAUAGAAAAGAAGAGGAUUAAGUGGAAUGUCUGCAAGAAUGUCAUGCAGAUGGGGUCUUGUCUCAAGACUGAUGGCCCAUAAGGUUGUGCUUCAUAUCACCCACCAGGGAGGAUCAUCUCUCAUGAAAACUUUCAAAUUUGAUUUUGAAAAUUAUUCAGAAAAAUUUAAGCCAUGCUAUCUCCCAGGGUAGGAAAGAAUAUGCUCUAGAGACUUCUAUAAUUCAAAGGCAAUGGACUGGGAUAACAUUUAAGUUAUCAGGCUGCCGAAAUCCUCUUGAGAACAGCCAGGAGGCUAAUAAUGAAGGGGCCAGAGAAGGAGGCCAGUGCUACCAGGGUUAUCUCGCAGCCUCAGAUGUUGGAUAAGUCGAAGGAGGCAGGAUCGCUUCAGGAUGACAUUCAGAAAGGCCGGAGUGAUUACCGGGAAGAGAAAAGCCUACCUAUUCUUUUCUAAGGUGCCUGAAUAUUCCCCUGGCCUGCUUGUCCAUGUGCUGAUGCAUUAUUAGCAACCUGCCUUAGACAAAGGAGGCACUCGGAGCCCCACCACACCUCAAACCACGCUUUGAAGGAUCUGCCAAGCUCACUUUUAAUCAUGAGGAAGGAAUUACCCACAUGGAGUCAGCAGAAAAUGAGAAAGUGGAGCUCGUGCUGAGAAUAAUUCCAGCAAGUGCCAAGGGGCUAGUUGAGGAAUGGUUUCAUGAGGUGAAUAUCUUUAGCUUGUACUUAGGGUUUGGGUAGCGUAUAAUCCUUUUUUCUUUUAGGAGCGAUGACUAUCCUAAGUGUCCUUCCCAACUCAAGAGCGCUCAGAGCAUUUGUCAGGCUGUUGACAGAUUGCUAUCAGUCUCGUCCUUGUUGUUAUUUUCUGUGACUAAUUUUACAUUUGCAAACAUGCAGCAGCCCACUGGGGCUGCCGAGCCGCAGUGCUGACGGCCGCGUGUGUCUGUGUGCGUGCAUGUCUGUGUGUGAGUCCGUCUGUGUGUGUGCCCUUGUGCCCGUCUUCUCUGUCGUGCAUGUAGGUGGGGAGGGCUGGCCGGCCAACGGCCUCUCAGAUGUGGUCCGAGGCUUUUAUUUGAUCUUUGGACCGAGAGAAAAAGAACGUGUCACAUCAUGAUGAAUGGUCAAUCUGAAUUUCCAAUUCAUACAGAAGGAGAAGCGGGGAGGAGGCUAUGAGCCCAGUGGUGAGACUAACCUUUUCCCUUUGGGAAGAGCUUGAUUCAAAUUAAACAUCACUUUCAGUGUGAAAUUAGUUUGAAGGUCUCUCUCUCUUUUUUUUUUUUGGUGCCUGGUUUAACUCCUUGAUGGGCUGCUCUUUCAGGGAGGAACCCUUCCGUCCACCUUUGCGCUUGUGUCUGUUCCCAGCAGCAGCCCAUAGUUCUUUGUCCUUUGUUCUGUUUUUCUAAAGAUCAGGUCCAAAAAAAUUUUUUUUCACUAUUUUCAAAACUCCCAUUAUUCACAAGAUAACAUUCUCCCUAAAACAUGUUAUUUCUUGAUGUCCCAAACUUAUAUCUGAAGUAAAUAACGUUCUGCUUCAAAGGAUAAUCUUGCUGGGGAGGAGGGAGAGGGAAAAUUUGGGAUCUUUUUGAAAGAACCUUCCAGUGUCUCCUGCUUUAGGCCAGCGUCUGCUGGCCACGGGAGUCAGAGCGGAGGAGUAGCAGCCGCAAAGCCCAAGCGUGCUCUCGUUUCCCUAGUUCCCCGCAGAAAUAGUGAGUCGCGGGGUCACCCAGGCCAGCCUGCUGCAACUCUGGCCUCAAACACGCAGGUGCCAGGAGGCUUCUGAAACCUCCUUUCAGUGCUUCCUGGUCCAAGGACUAAGGCCCGAAUGUGUAGAAAGAACCGCUGUCCAUGGACACGCAAGGCUGCUUGCCCAUCUGGGCACAUGCUUGCUGCUUUGGUUAGGCACCCACAGGGCUAAAUAUGUGAUUGAUUCUCUUUCUGGAAUUGAGUGGCUUAUGGGAAAAGGGGUAGUAUGGAAAAGACUAAGAGACAAGGGUAUUCUUCCAAUGACUCUUCAGAAGGAAAAUGUGUGGGUUUUUGAAUUCCUAAAGAGGAGUGUGGAGGUCAGGCAGCUGGGUUUGGAGUGAGACUGGGGAGGUGAGGCAGCUGAGGGUGGAGGUCGAGGUGGAGUGGGGGGUGAGGAGCAGCUGUGUUUAUUUUAAUCCAUCUCAUUUAACCCUCACCUAAAAACAAAUUGGAGAGGUUUGGGAGUGCAUUAAUCUGGACCCAAUUAGCAUGUCUUUCUCCUUCAAAAGUGCAACCUGAGAUUAAUGAAUAUAAACUAGAGUUUCAGAUGCAGUGCUUAAAUCAUUUGCAUGUUUCAUGCAUGAUAAUUGAAUUUAUGUCUGCACUUCCUUUCACUUAACUAUUUCCAGUCUCCUUCCUGUGAGUCACAUAAAGCAAGAUUUCAUUCUCCUAACCUUUCGGUGGAGUUUGCCUAGCUCUUGCUCCUAAUGAGAAACUCAAGUGCUUGUUCCUUUUAUUUGAAUUUGAAUAAUACAAUAUUUUCCACAAAGCAGAGGGCAGGGCUUAAUAGACUGGGAUGCUGUUUCAGGAACUGGUAAACAGGCACUCCAGGUUUAUUUUUUAAAGACCAGAAAACCCAUGGGAACUGAAGGCAUUGAGUUUUCAGUGGUUCCAGAAAAUUGGGUUUCAGUGUGACCACUUUUAAGUGUAUUAAUAAUGCCAAGAGGAAGGUCACUUUAAUGCAACAUAAAGAAUGUUCUCAGGCUCUGGACAGAGUUACUUAUCACAUGGGAUUAGCGCACAGUACUUUUCUGGCAUAGUUAGAUAUAUGCUUCUGUGGAAGGGGGAGGUGGGUAGUGUCAGUCUUCAUGAAGGUGUGUAGAUGAGCAGUUAGCACUUGUGGUUGCUUAGCAUGCUGUAGGUUUUUUCCUUCUUUCUUUCUUUCUUUUUUGUUAUUUAGGUGUAGAAGGCUUAAUGCUGACUUACUGCAAGCAGGUGUUAAGGUCCCCUUCCCCACCUGCUCCAACCUGAAAAGCCUAAAAGCUGGCAGUGAGCAUGAAAGAAUGCUUCCUAGGGGAAACGCCGAGGCCAGAGGCUUGAAAUGACCCACCCUGGUUUCAGUUUGUAUCAGUGAUUUGUCUGUCUUCUGUCUUUCCUCAUGUG